AUCGCGCUGGUGGAAUUCAACACUGACAAUAAUAUUUUACCCAGUGGCCAGUAUUAAACAAAUACUAAACCUCUGGUCACCCUCAAAUUUAUCUGUAAUGGCAACGACUCUCUUUUGCACAUAUUCCAAAGGUAUCAACAGGGCUUUAUUCCUCUUCUCGGUCUCACAAAAAUCCUUCACCUUCAAAAACAUCUCCCGAGUUGCACUUAUUUACGCACCAUAAUCACUCUGAUUCUUGUACAAACGCACCCUUCAAAAAGGUGGCGGAGUUGUCUAAUUUAUUUCCAGGGUUCCCGUCGGCAAUGAGUGGUAGGCGGACUAUACCUAAGCUCCGUACCAAACAUUGUUUAAAACAAUCUAAAAUUGGGAUCUCUUAGUAAAAUAAUAUAGAAUGCUAAAUAUAUUGCAGUUUAAUAAUUAUUGAAAUUUAGUUUGUAUGCGUAUACUUAAAAUUGUACACCGCGUUCAGCUUGUUUAAGGUGAAUUAAAAUAUUUAUGUACAUUAAGUGAUAUACAUUUAUGUAUAGAUGUAAAAUAUUUACAGGCUGUAAUAGACGCAAAUAUCUUCUCGACUCUAAUAGACAUUCUGAAGCUAGCCGAGUUCAAAACAAGGAAGGAAGCUACUAACGCUAUCAGUGGGAGAACUACUGCGCAGAUUACAGCAUAAUGCGACUCAGUGGCGCACAAUGCCGAAUUAUGCUGAAGCUUAAUUGGAACGUGAAUUAGUUUUCAAAUGCAUCAGCAGAGUGUGCUAAGUUCAGUGUUGGAUCUUUAAAAAUGAUUUCUAAAUAAAUUAUACACUUUUUAAUUGAAUCAUCUUAUCCAAAUGAUAGUGAUGACGAUGAUUUAUCGAGUGCUCCGAGUUUAAAUAAAUUUAUUAUCAAGUGUCAAUUAGUUCAUUAUCAAAUUAGUUUAUUAUCAAGUGAUAUAUUUAUUGGAUAUAUAUAUAUGUUAAUGAAACAAAUGAAUUAUUUGAGCCAUUAUAAUAUAUUUUUAGCAGUUUGAAAUAACUUUGAUUAUUUCCAAAAUCUACGAUGAAACGAAAGCCUUACAAAUUUUUUAACAAUAAAUAAUAUUACUAACGAUAAUUUCGAUCAAUGCCAACUUAAAGAAUAAAACAAUAGUGAUUUUUCUGUCACUGAGUUGGUAUUGAUUGCGAGUAUCAAUCGAAAGCAUUACUUUUGAGAGUGCUCAAUUGUGCGAACCGUUGCUAUUUUUGGAACAUUCAACGUUGAGCAUUAUGCCGCAUAAUGCGCUCUAGUGCUGGAUUGGAAAACUAGAUACUACGACAAACGCUUCUCUAUACUAGGUUGCGUUGCACGUGAACAAACCUGAAGUUUUUUAAGUCUAAAUUAUCAUUCAAUAUAUUUGCAUACAUAUAUACCUAAUAUUAAUUGUAUUAGUCUUUAUCGUCGAUUGGUCUCAUUCUGAUAGUUGCGGCACCUGUCAUUAUAACUCAAUUUUUAUUACUAAAGAUUUUAUGAGAAAUUAAUAAGUAUUUCCCAGUUAUUUUAUUAUCUUACGCUAUUUAAAGUCAUGUUUGUACAGAUUGCUCCCAUUAAGUAAUCAUUAUUUUUUAUACAGCCAUAUACGUUUUUUUUUCCAAUAAAACCCCAGAAAAAAAUAAUACUUUUUAAUCAAUAAAUAUGUGUUUUUUAAAGAUAUUACACACUCAUCAUUUGUCUUGCUAAUAGCUCAGCCUUGAGCGCUGUCAAACUUCACAUAUAAAAAAUUGUUUGAAAGCAC